GUGCUCGCUUCUGCAGCACAUACACAAAAUCGGAACAAUACAGAGGAGAUUAGCAUGGCCCCUGUGCAAGGAUGACACGCAAAUUCGUGACAUGUUCCAUAUCUUU
rfam:Canis lupus familiaris chromosome 33, whole genome shotgun sequence.